GACGAACGCUGGCGGCGUGCUUAACACAUGCAAGUCGAACGGAAAGGCCUGCUUUCCCUUGUGGAUUGCGGGUACUCGAGUGGCGAACGGGUGAGUAACACGUGAGUGAUCUGCCCCCAACUUGGGUAUAAGCCUGGGAAACUGGGUCUAAUUCCCGAUAGGACUGCAGGGUGGUGCCUGUGGUGGAAAACGAUUUUCUAGUGGUUGGGGAUGAGCUCGCGGCCUAUCAGCUUGUUGGUGGGGUAAUGGCCUACCAAGGCGGCGACGGGUAGCCGGCCUGGGAGGGUGGACGGCAACAUUGGGACGGAGAUCCGGCCAGGACUCCUACGGGAGGCGGCGGUGGGGAAUAUUGCACAAGGGGCGGAGGCCUGAGGCGGCGCCGCGGCGUGGGGAUGACGGCCUUCGGGUUGUAAACUCCUUUCGACCGCGAGGAAGCCACCUGGUUGGAAGGGUGGUGACGGUAGUGGUAGAAGAAGCACCGGCUAACUACGUG
rnacentral:rRNA from 1 species